AUUCUGCUUCUGCCGCGUAUAUCGACCGGCCGGCGCGCGCCGCCUCAGUCACCGUCGUCACUUCGUUCGCGUCGCGCGACCCCACGCACCUCUGACAGCUGCCGAUCACAACCUUUGUAAUUUUACACAACGAUACGAAAAAUAAAAAUACACGUCGUAUCCGUGUAUAAACUGUCAUCGAAUAUCACAUGUACUAACUCAUGAUUUUAAAAAUACGCACUAAAAUAUGCGACGAGCGUGAAUUAUAAAUAAAAGACUUUGUUGUGUCAUGUGAAGUUGUGGUUUUUAUUCUGAGUUCUGUAUAUCCGGUAGCUGUCAUCACGGUGCAUGUCCUGCGUUACUUCAUAACAUGAAUCGAGCAUUUAAAUACAACACGAUGACAAAGAUAAAGUAACAAAAUCAAAAAUCGUAAUAAAAACAUUGUAAUGACAAUCUUAAUUUCUACAAUUACGAUGUAGAA